GGGGACACGUAUCGGAUUAUUGGGCGUAAGAGCUCGUAGGCGGUUUGUCGCGUCUGCUGUGAAAUCCCGAGGCUCAACCUCGGGUCUGCAGUGGGUACGGGCAGACUAGAGUGCGGUAGGGGAGAUUGGAAUUCCUGGUGUAGCGGUGGAAUGCGCAGAUAUCAGGAGGAACACCGAUGGCGAAGGCAGAUCUCUGGGCCGUUACUGACGCUGAGGAGCGAAAGGGUGGGGAGCAAACAGGCUUAGAUACCCUGGUAGUCCACCCCGUAAACGUUGGGAACUAGUUGUGGGGUCCAUUCCACGGAUUCCGUGACGCAUCUGACGCAUUAAGUUCCCCGCCUGGGGAGUACGGCCGCAAGGCUAAAACUCAAAGGAAUUGACGGGGACCCGCACAAGCGGCGGAGCAUGCGGAUUAAUUCGAUGCAACGCGAAGAACCUUACCAAGGCUUGACAUAUACGAGAACGGGCCAGAAAUGGUCAACUCUUUGGACACUCGUAAACAGGUGGUGCAUGGUUGUCGUCAGCUCGUGUCGUGAGAUGUUGGGUUAAGUCCCGCAACGAGCGCAACCCUCGUUCUAUGUUGCCAGCACGUAAUGGUGGGAACUCAUGGGAUACUGCCGGGGUCAACUCGGAGGAAGGUGGGGAUGACGUCAAAUCAUCAUGCCCCUUAUGUCUUGGGCUUCACGCAUGCUACAAUGGCCGGUACAAAGGGCUGCAAUACCGCGAGGUGGAGCGAAUCCCAAAAAGCCGGUCCCAGUUCGGAUUGAGGUCUGCAACUCGACCUCAUGAAGUCGGAUUCGCUAGUAAUCGCAGAUCAGCAACGCUGCGGUGAAUACGUUCCCGGGUCUUGUACACACCGCCAGUCAAGUCAUGACAGUCGGUAACACCUGAAGCCGGUGGCCCAACCCUUGUGGAGGGAGCCGUCGAAAGUGGGAUCGGUAAUUAGGACUACCUCGUAACACGGUAGCCGUACCGGACCGUGUGUGAGACG
rnacentral:rRNA from 1 species